GUUGAAUGAAUGAGAAUGGAUUUUUGGAAGUAAUGCUUUCAACCAUGCGCUUCUCUGUCCAACACUUGAGAAAAGUUCAGUUUGGAGGCACCACUGAUGAAAAAAGUUCACUGGGGAAUAACCAACGAAUGCAAGAAUCUAUUUCAAUAUUGCACAAAAAGGAAAAGGCAUUGCAAGAGGAGAACAGGCAGCUAGCAAAUAAGAAUGAUUGAAGUUAUAUCGGGUUGAAAGCUGAGCAAUUGUGUAGAUAGCCAGGCGAUCAUUGAAGGUUGAAGAUUGAAGAUUGCGAAGACGUUUAGAAUUUUUCUUAUUUACAUCUUGUAUUAGGAUCUUUUUUCAUAUACUGUUGUAGAAUGUAUAUAUAAACACAAUAUUAAGUUUUCAUUUUGUGUAUACAAA